GAAAGAAGAAUGGCGAGUGAACACGUAUUAAGAAUCUUUCUUCUCGCUAGUGAUUUUUCAAUCGUAACGUAAAAUAAUCAGAAAUAUUAGAUCGUUCGGAAAGUAAUUUCCUUUCUUCACACGAGUGUCGCUAGUGUGAAACGUUUAUCCAGCCAACUUCAUUCUAAACCGCGUUGUUGUUAUUAUUAUAUAUUUCGAGAGUUGACAUUUCACGAUUUAUUUAAUAAGAAAAAUUCAUUUCAUUCUGUGCGAUUGUGUUUUUCGUGUGUGAUAACAAAAUGCAAGAUCAAAAGAAGCAUUUUCGACAUAUAUUUUAUUUUUUUAUUAUGGAAAAGGUAAGAAUACUGUUCAGGCAAGAAAAAAAUUAUGCGAAGUCUAUGAAGAAAGCGUGUUAACAGUAUUGUAUUAACAGCCAGUGUCAAAACAAAAGUUUUCAAAAUUUCAUUCGGAUAAUUUCGAAAUUAAAGAUGCGCCAUGUUUUGACGAAGACCAGUUGAAUGAAUGAAGACAAAAUAGAGGCACUGAUUGAAGCAAACCAACGAAUAACAACUCGAGAAACUCUUGCUACGAGAUUGAAUUUGUCGAAUUUCAUAAUCAUUCGAUCGUGAAACGACAUAAUGUUUCAUUGUCAUGAGAAGAAAUGGAAAUUACUUUCCGAACAGCCCGGAAUAUUUUUCGAACGAAUGGACGGAGAUUGAAAAAUUUUGAUACUUAUUCAUCGUAUACAGCCAGCAAAAAUUCUUUGUUGAAGAUUGGACCAAACUCGAGAUGACCAGUCGUUGUAUCGUGAUAUAUCUAUAUAUAUAUGACGAGUGAUGAAAUCGUAUGAAUGACGAUACAAAAGAGAGAGAGAGAAAGAUUACCUUAUCGAGACCCACAGAUUUGAUAUAAACUUGCUCAGUUCUGUAGAAAGGUUGGAAAUGAGAAUCAAAGUAAUUUUUCUCGAUCCUUGCUCUGCUUGUGGGUGCUGCCCAAAUCUCUAUAGGAUUGCUCGUUAUCGACAGGUAAGACAAGAAUGUGAGUAAGAAAGUAAGAAAAAUAAGAAGAAGAGAUAGAAAAAGAGAAAAAGAAAAACGUUAAUUAAGCUUUAAUCAAUGUUACGUCAUCGAAGAAACAUACGUACUUUUGCCCCAAACGGUGA